UAGGGAAUCUUCCACAAUGGACGCAAGUCUGAUGGAGCAACGCCGCUUGAGUGAAGAAGGUUUUCGGAUCGUAAAGCUCUGUUGUUGGUGAAGAAGGAUAGAGGCAGUAACUGGUCUUUAUUUGACGGUAAUCAACAAGAAAGUCACGGCUAACUACGUGCCAGCAGCCGCGGUAAUACGUAGGUGGCAAGCGUUGUCCGGAUUUAUUGGGCGUAAAGCGAGCGCAGGCGGAAUGAUAAGUCUGUUGUGAAAGCCCACGGCUCAACCGUGGAACUGCAUCGGAAACUGUCAUUCUUGAGUGCAGAAGAGGAGAGUGGAAUUCCAUGUGUAGCGGUGGAAUGCGUAGAUAUAUGGAAGAACACCAGUGGCGAAGGCGGCUCUCUGGUCUGCAACUGACGCUGAGGCUCGAAAGCAUGGGUAGCGAACAGG
rnacentral:rRNA from 1 species